rnacentral:rRNA from 1 species
UACGGAGGGAGCUAGCGUUGUUCGGAAUUACUGGGCGUAAAGCGCACGUAGGCGGCUUUGUAAGUUAGAGGUGAAAGCCCGGGGCUCAACUCCGGAACUGCCUUUAAGACUGCAUCGCUUGAAUCCAGGAGAGGUGAGUGGAAUUCCGAGUGUAGAGGUGAAAUUCGUAGAUAUUGGGAGGAACACCAGUGGCGAAGGCGGCUCACUGGACCGGUACUGACGCUGAUGCGCGAAAGCGUGGGGAGCAAACGGG